rnacentral:tRNA from 1 species
GGAGAGAGAUGACCGAGCUGGCCGAAGGUGCACGACUGGAAAUCGUGUGUACGCCCAAAAGGUGUACCGAGGGUUCGAAUCCCUCUCUCUCCGCCA